UACUUAGGUGACAAGCGUUGUCCGGAUUUACUGGGCGUAAAGAGCGCGCAGGCGGUCGAUCAAGUCGAGUGUGAAAGCCCCCGGCUCAACUGGGGAGGGUCAUUCGAUACUGAUCGACUCGAAGGCAGGAGAGGGUAGUGGAAUUCCCGGUGUAGUGGUGAAAUGCGUAGAUAUCGAGAGGAACACCUGCGGCGAAGGCGGGUUGCUGGGCUGAAACUGACGCUGAGGCGCGAAAGCUAGGGGAGCGAACGGG
rnacentral:rRNA from 1 species